UACGGGGGGGGCAAGCGUUGUUCGGAAUUACUGGGCGUAAAGGGCGCGUAGGUGGCCAACUAAGUCAGACGUGAAAUCCCCGGGCUCAACCCGGGAACUGCGUCCGAUACUGGGAGGCUUGAAUCCGGGAGAGGGAUGUGGAAUUCCAGGUGUAGCGGUGAAAUGCGUAGAUAUCUGGAGGAACACCGGUGGCGAAGGCGGCAUCCUGGACCGGUAUUGACGCUGAGGCGCGAAAGCUAGGGGAGCAAACGGG
rnacentral:rRNA from 1 species